AGCAUGCCAUGCCAGGCACAGGGACUCAGGAGCACAAGAGCUCUUGCUAGUUGACUUUCCCAGGACCAGAGGUAGGGGAACCUCCAGAUGUUGCCGAGGCCCACAGAGAAGCCAAUCUGGGCCAGGAUGUACUGCAGCUUACUGUUCCAGGCCGGCCGGUCCUCUGCAUCCAGCUCCUCCUCCA
ensembl:lncRNA SLC6A17-AS1 SLC6A17 antisense RNA 1